UACGUAGGGCGCAAGCGUUAUCCGGAAUUAUUGGGCGUAAAGAGCUCGUAGGCGGUUUGUCGCGUCUGCCGUGAAAGUCCGGGGCUCAACUCCGGAUCUGCGGUGGGUACGGGGCAGACUAGAGUGAUGUAGGGGAGACUGGAAUUCCUGGUGUAGCGGUGAAAUGCGCAGAUAUCAGGAGGAACACCGAUGGCGAAGGCAGGUCUCUGGGCAUUAACUGACGCUGGAGGAGCGAAAGCAUGGGGAGCGAACAGG
rnacentral:rRNA from 1 species